rnacentral:rRNA from 1 species
AACGAACGCUGGCGGCAUGCCUAACACAUGCAAGUCGAACGAGAUCCUUCGGGGUCUAGUGGCGCACGGGUGCGUAACGCGUGGGAAUCUGCCCUUAGGUUCGGAAUAACAGUUAGAAAUGACUGCUAAUACCGGAUGAUGACGUUAAGUCCAAAGAUUUAUCGCCUGAGGAUGAGCCCGCGUAGGAUUAGCUAGUUGGUGUGGUAAAGGCGCACCAAGGCGACGAUCCUUAGCUGGUCUGAGAGGAUGAUCAGCCACACUGGGACUGAGACACGGCCCAGACUCCUACGGGAGGCAGCAGUGGGGAAUAUUGGAAAAUGGGCGCAAGCCUGAUCCAGCAAUGCCGCGUGAGUGAUGAAGGCCUUAGGGUUGUAAAGCUCUUUUACCCGGGAUGAUAAUGACAGUACCGGGAGAAUAAGCCCCGGCUAACUCCGUG